GCCCGGGUGGCGAAACUGGCAGACGCAUGGGACUUAAAAUCCCUAGGGGAGCAAUCCCCGUGCGGGUUCGACUCCCGCCCCGGGCA
rnacentral:tRNA from 1 species